rnacentral:rRNA from 1 species
UACGGAGGGUGCAAGCGUUACUCGGAUUUACUGGGCGUAAAGCGUGUGUAGGUGGUCUCAUAAGUCUGGUGUGAAAGCCCGGGGCUCAACCCCGGAGUGCAUUGGAUACUGUGAGGCUGGAGUAUGGGAGAGGAGAGUGGAAUUCCAGGUGUAGAGGUGAAAUUCGUAGAUAUCUGGAAGAACACCGGCGGCGAAGGCGGCUCUCUGGACCAUUACUGACACUGAGGCACGAAAGCGUGGGGAGCAAACAGGAUUAGAAACCCGAGUAGU